UACGGGGGGGGCAAGCGUUGUUCGGAAUUACUGGGCGUAAAGGGCUCGUAGGUGGCCAACUAAGUCAGACGUGAAAUCCCCCGGCUUAACCGGGGAACUGCGUCUGAUACUGGAUGGCUUGAGUUCGGGAGAGGGAUGCGGAAUUCCAGGUGUAGCGGUGAAAUGCGUAGAUAUCUGGAGGAACACCGGUGGCGAAGGCGGCAUCCUGGACCGACACUGGCGCUGAGGAGCGAAAGCCAGGGGAGCAAACGGG
rnacentral:rRNA from 1 species